GCGGGUUCCCUGGCCAUGCCCAGCGGGCCGAGGGAAAGGCUCCGACGGGGCUGCCCGGGUCCUGGCGCACGUCUGCGGACCGACCCUGGGCAUGAAAAGGUCACAGCCGCCAGGGCUGCGUCUCCGACGGUGGCCACCCUAGGUGUGCCGAUCCCGAGAAGCCGGGACCCCGGGUAACCGGCUGCUCAGCGAAGCCUGCCCCCUCCUCGAGUCCGACGGCAGGGCUUCCCGGUCCUGGGAACCCUGUCUGGGCGCUGCUGACCCAUCUCUCUUGUCGGAUGUCAGAGGGGCUAAUGUGGUUUCCAAAACUGGGAGAGAGGACGAAAGGAAGAGCCUGCGCUCUGUACUUGCUUCAAGGAGACGCAAGAAUCAGAGAACUGGCCCCCGCCCAAGACUGUAAGUGAUGGUCCAAGGAUGGGGUGUACCUGUGGGAACUUUGUGUUGCCUGAAGAGGACCCUGGUUUCAGGACUGGGGUCACACAGUACAGGUGCCCUGGCUGAUGGGCGCAGCCUCACCAGGAACUGCCAAGGUGGUCAUACCCCAAGAGGCCUUCAGGUGUGGUUGGUAGCGAAGGAGGGGCCUCUUUGCCUCAGGUGGAACAGCUUUGCAGUGGCAGUCAUGCUCUGUGGCUGCCCGUGGGAUCAGGCUGAGUUUUCUCUGUCCUCCAGAAAUCUUUAUGAGUAGCUGCUCAAAAGGAUGGGAAGCACUUGGCGUAAUAGUCCUAAGAAAAUCAUCCUGUCUCAACCAGAGCUUGAUCUUCUGCCUGCUGCUCUCAGGCUUGAUCAUGAGACUUGCUUUGGCCAACAACCUGCGAGUGGAGGUGAUAUUUGCUGUUUCUGGGCAGAAGCUCUAAGAGCUAGCCCAUAGUUCUCCACGUCCUCUCCCUGAAUCUGUCUUUGUUAGGAUGUCAGCUUGGGUUCUCAGUGAUUCAAAGCUGGUUGUUGACCCAGGAUGGAUGUGCACGAUUUUUAUUGUAUUCUUGCACAGAGAGUACAAGAGCAAUAUCAAGAAACACACAGCUCUAAGAUUCAUAAGUUGAACUCCAGCCCCCAGCCUGGCCGCGUUUGGAGAUGGGAAUUCUUAGGAAGUUAAGUGAGCUCUAAGGGUGGGGUCCCCGCCUCAUAGGAAUAGUGUCUUCUACGAGGAGACACCAGAGGGCGCUCUCGAUGCUCCCACUCCGAGGAAAGGCGAGGGGAGGACCCAGCGAGAAGGUGACCGGCGGCCUGCAAGGGGAAAGAGCCCUCAUCAGGAAUUGCAUCAGCCAGCACCUUGAUCUUGGACUUCUAGCCUUCAGAACUAUGAGGAAAUGAAUUUCUGCUGUUUAUGUCACUCGAUCUACAGUAUUUUGUCAUAACAGCCCAAAAUGCAAUUCAUACAAAAGGAAGUAUUUCAGAGAAGACUAUCAUGACUUUUUUUUGGCCAAGCCUGUGGAAGUUCCUUGGCCAGCAGUAGCCCUGUGAUCAGUGACAAAGCCAAGUCCUUAACCUCUAGGGCACCAGGGUUUAUGGUGAAACUGGAGCAGUGAAUUCUGGUGGAAUUACUUGGGAAUACAGGCAUAUGCAUGACAGUCUGGGGAAGCCAUGUUUGUGUUGUUCGAGGUGAAGAAUUAUCAUCAAUAUGCUGCUUACAUCAUAGGCUGUCCAGUGAAGAUGAAGUUUCCAACAAGGGCCUAGAAGCUCAUGAGCAUAAAGUGCUGGUGCCCUCUCAGGAAGGCUGUGAGCUGGAAGUCACUGCCAGAGAUCGAAUCCACAACCUCAUGGUUCCUAGUCAAAUUCAUUUCUGCUGCGCCAUGACCGGAACUCCGGAUUCUGUGUUUUUAAUGAAUGCACCUGAGGAAUUUUUAUGAUGGUAAGUUUGGUAAACACUGCUUUAGUCCCGCCCAGGUUGGGAUCAGAAUUCUCUUACCCAAAAGGCUGGGCAAGAUUGAGAAGCAGGGCUUCUGGUUUCAGAGGGACAUACAAGCAGUCUGUUAGGAGGCAUCCUGGAGCUAGGAUGCUGUCUGGGGGAGCGGGCUGCCACUUCCUGGGUGCUGGAUUUAGAGGACUGAGGUGUUCACAGUGAGGCUCCGGUGCUCAUGGGAACCGAGGUGACCCUGAGGGAGAGAAUGGCAGUCACGCAUCCCAGCCACAGGUGAGGGCUCUUGACGCAAACGGAAGAUUUAGGCUGGGUAGGAUUCCUAUCUCAUGGCCCAGGGAGGCUGUGGGGAAAGGCCGCUCACUCGUGGGUCAACAGCAGGGGGCGUCUCUCCUGAAAAGGAUCUUGUUCUUGGAUGGUAACCACUGGGGUGAACAGACGGUCCUUAGGAAACCAGAGCUCACCACGGAGACUAGACAGGCAGCGAGGUAACCAGUGUGUUUCAAGCCUUUCUCGUUGGGGUCCAGAUGCGAAAGGAGCUGGUGUCCUUGAAGUUCACGGUCUUGAGUUCAUCAGGGUGGCGGUGGGUGUGCCCUGGGAUAGCUGUCCCUAAGAAGAAGGGAGGACCUGAGCCGGGUGGCGCCGAGGAGCCCCUUCCCGAGGAGCCCCUUCCCACCCGGGAGCCCGCCGCCCUGGAGGGUGCCCUUGGGGUGGAUCUUCCUCAGGUGAGACCAGAGCAGGCAGGUCGAGGUGGGCGUGAGAUGUAAGGGAAUGAUUGGUUGUUUGAUCGGCCCAGAGUGGGACUUAUUGGACCGAGAGGUAAUGCUUUUGGCUCUGAUGGUUCCUAGAAACGGAAUGUUUGUGGCCCCACCGGCCCCCUAUUCAUAGUUUGAAACCUAAUCCCCAAUGUGAAGGUGUUUGGAGGCCCUGGGAGGCGAUUAGGGCAUCAGGGUGGGGCCGAUGCGGAUGGAUUCGUGCCCUUGUAAGCGGAGGAAGAGUCGGAGUUCUCCCAUCGCUGCCUGAGGACGAGGCAAGAACACGGGCUCUGGGAACAGUGAGCUGGCCCUCACCAGACUCAGAAUCUGCUUGAUCCUGGACUUUCCAGCCUCUAGGACUGUGAGAAAUAAAUGUCUGCUGUUUAUAA
rnacentral:lncRNA from 1 species